GAUGAACGCUAGCUACAGGCUUAACACAUGCAAGUCGCAGGGUAACAUGAGGAAAGCUUGCUUUCCUUGAUGACGACUGGCGCACGGGUGAGUAACGCGUAUCCAACCUUCCCAUAACUACGGGAUAACCCGUUGAAAGACGGCCUAAUACCGUAUGAUAUCGUUUGCUGACAUCAAAUAACGAUUAAAGGUUUAGCGGUUAUGGAUGGGGAUGCGUCUGAUUAGCUUGUUGGCGGGGUAACGGCCCACCAAGGCGACGAUCAGUAGGGGUUCUGAGAGGAAGGUACACCACAUUGGAACUGAGACACGGUCCAAACUGCUACGGGAGGCAGCAGUGAGGAAUAUUGGUCAAUGGGCGAGAGCCUGAACCAGCCAAGUAGCGUGCAGGACGACGGCCCUAUGGGUUGUAAACUGCUUUUAUGUGGGGAUAAAGUGCGUGACGUGUCAUGCAUUGCAGGUACCACAUGAAUAAGGACCGGCUAAUUCCGUG
rnacentral:rRNA from 1 species